AGGGAGGGCGGGCGCCAUGUUGGAGGCCGCGGGCGGUCGCGGCCGUGGAGGCCGGAGCUGUCCCGGGCGCGUCGGGUGGUCCCUGUUCCCGUCCCUGGCGUGGGCCAGGAGGGGCUGGCCAGGGUUUGGACAUCUAAGCGUUGCCCACAUCUUGCUGGAGAAUGGCGCUGACCUCAAUGCACAGAACAAGUUAGGAGCCAGUGUCCUCACAAUGGCCUCCAGAGGUGGUCACGUCAGCAUGGUGAAAUUGUUGCUGGAAUCUGGAGCUUUUGUGGACAAUUAUGACCAUUUUAGUACAAAUGUACUUAACAGCAGCCGAGAUGACUUUCCUGAUAUCACUCCACUGAUGGCAGCUGCUCAGCAUGGACAUGAGGCCGUGGUACAUCUGUUGCUAGACUGGGGAGCUGAUUGUAACUACACUCUAAAGACCAUGGGCUGGAGUCCUUUAAUGCUGGCAGCCGUUAGUGGAAAGGUGAGCUUGGCACAGCAGCUCAUGGAGAAAGGUGCCAAUCCUGAUCACUUGAAUGUACUACAUAAAACACCUUUUGAAAUCUCUGUUGGCUUGAAACACAAAGACAUGAAGGACUAUUUGGAGUCUCUCACAACAAUCAGGCCUCAGGCAGAUGCAGAAAAGAGACAACCUGAUGUCUUUCAUGCUUUGAAACUCGGAAACUUUCAGCUGGUUAAAGACAUCACUGAUGAAGAUCCAAGUCAGGUUAAUAUUACCAAUGUUGAUGGUGCAUCUCCUUUAAUGAUUGCAGCUGUAACUGGACAGCUGCCCCUUGUUCAACUCCUUGUUGAGAAAAAGGCUGAUAUUGAUAAACAGGAUAAUGUUCAUGGCUGGACAGCACUAAUGCAGGCCACGUACCAUGGAAACAAAAAUGUUGUAAAGUAUUUGCUAAAUCAAGGAGCUGAUGUUAACCUUCGUGCAAAAAAUGGAUACACAGCUUUUGACCUGAUAAUGCUGCUGAAUGAUCCAGACACUGAGCUUGUAAGGUUACUGGCAUCAGCAUGUAUGCAAGUAGAUAAAGACAAGAAUAAACUGAACAACAGAUCAUCUCUGCCUUGUUCCAGAAGUAGACAAUCCUUAAAUGUCCCAAUGUUGCCAGAUGACAAAGGAGGCCUAAAGUCAUGGUGGAGCAGGAUGUCCAAUCGAUUCCGCAAGCUGAAGUUGACUCAGACAUUGCGCCAUGGAUUUCCCUCUAAUCAGUUUGUUCCUUUUCCGGAUGAGAUGGAACCGUCACUAAAUUCCACUAUAAAAGUAGCCUCACAGAGUGAUACAGACACCUCUGGAAACCUUGAUGCUGCUACAGCUUGGAACACAAAUAACAAAGCUAGUGGUGCAAACACUACAAAAGGAGGAAAGGACGAUGAAUUAUUGACAACUAUGCUGAGGAGUAGUGCUCCAUUUACCAGGCUGCCCAGUGAUAAGCUGAAAGCAGUGAUACCACCUUUCUUACCACCCUCAAGCUUUGAGCUUUGGAAUUCUGACCGAACCCGACUCAGCAAAGAUGGCAAAGCUGAACAGAUGAGAACUGCCUGGCCACAGAGAGCAAUCAAGCAUGAUUUUAACAGCAGUGGGAACUCUGAUAUAACAUCUGUAAGCAAAGGUGCUAGACCAGUCAAAUUACCAACAUUUGCAAGAAGACCAGCAUCUCCUUCAAAUUCCAACAACUUCAACCAUUCUCCGCAUUCUUCUGGUGGAUCCAAUAACAUUGCAGGAAUUAACAGGCAUGGAGGAGAACUGCAUAACAGAUCAGGUGGCAGUGCAGAUAAUGUUUUGUCUCAGAUUGCAGCCCAAAGAAGAAAAGCAGCAGGCUUACCUGAACAGAAACCCAGCCAACAGCACAGUCCAGUCCAGUCAACUCCUUCAUCUACUGUAUCAGAUUUGCAGUGUGCUCAGAUUGUUGGCAAUGGACAUGUUGUAAAGCAAAAACUGGAGAUGAACAAAAGACCUCCAUCUGGGACUUCAUCUACAUCUAAAAGCACAUCACCAACUCUCACACCCUCUCCAUCACCUUCCCCAUCUCCUAAAGUUCAAAAUGCAGAGUCUUCUGUCUCUUCGUCUCACAGACACGCCAAGAGCAACGGCUCCAGCAGUGGUACUAUUACAGAGGAUGGCAACCACUUGGUGGACCAUCAACAGCUUGGGCCUCUUCUGAGAGACAGUGAUGUAGAGAAUCAUGAAAGACAAAACUAUAUGAGAGUAAAAGAAGGCUCUGAAAGCUUGGAGAAAGAUGAGCUGACUGGCAUCCUUAAAAAAUUGUCACUUGAGAAAUAUCAACCUAUAUUUGAGGAACAGGAGGUGGAUAUGGAAGCUUUCCUCACACUUACUGAUGGUGAUCUGAAAGAGCUGGGUAUUAAAACAGAUGGAUCAAGGCAGCAAAUUUUGGCUGCUAUUUCUGAACUGAAUGCAGGAAAGGGUCGAGAGAGACAGAUUUUACAAGAAACUAUACACAACUUCCACUCUUCCUUUGAGAGUAGUGUUAGUAACACACGACCACCAGGUCAUUCCCAACAUUCAAAUAUCAAGUGGAAAUUAUCCAGAGGAGCAAGUUAGAAAUUGAAGAGAGAGAAGUAAAAAUAGGAGCAAAAUCAAUACAGACUGCAUAUAAAAAUCAUACAGGAUUCAGCUCCUGGCUGCUCUUUAAAACCACAAGAAGCUGUUUCUUCUAAAAGGUAGCUACUGGAACAAAAGUUGGUUUUGUUUCUUUGUUCUUUUAUGGUAAAGUUUGGCAUCUGAAUAAAUCCAGACAAAUCCAAAUGAAAAUUGGAAAAGUUAGUCCUGACUAUACUGACAUAGGAUUUUCUGCAGUAAUGUGCUUAAAAUACAGAACCCACAGAAAGUCAAAGAAAAUAAUAAAGAGAUUGCUUCUGUAGUUCAACCCAAGUGUUGUUCAAAGCAUCAGUGGUCUGGAUUUAAGAAGAGCAAAAUCAGAAGAACAGGGAGAAUGGAUGAACAUGCAAGAAGAUGGAUGUUUCAUUCCACUCUUACCCAUAGAUAAAGAACCCGUGGGAGACCUACAUGGGCACAGUCAAGAGCAACAAAAGCACAGAAGAAGGCCACCACAAAUUAUUGAUUGGAUACAGAUAAAGGAGUCUAGAUUGAAAAUGCAAUGAUUUCAUGGGAAGAAAUAUAAAGGAGAAGUAAUGCUGCAUUCUUCAAUAACCAAAAUAUACUUUAUCUAUUCAAUAUUAUGAGGUUAGAACAGCAGUAAAAAUAAAAAACAAAAUACCUAUUUGUAAGAACAGCACUUUAUUUGAUGAAAUGCAUAAUCUAUCACCAAUAUUUAAACAGGAAAAAUGUUAAA